rnacentral:sRNA from 1 species
GCAUCGGCAAAAUCCGGUGCCGGGAUUGGUCUCCCGGAUUACUACAAAGGCGCACACACCGCGCGAGCGGUUUUUUU